rnacentral:misc_RNA from 1 species
CGCCAGCAUAUCUAUCUCCAUUUCUGCAAUGAAAUCAACUUUCUCAUCAUUAUUAAUUAUAUCCAUCAAACAAAAAAAUCAACAAUUUCAUUGGUUCACGGGCAAGUGCAAUAACAUUGAGUUGCCGAUUGACAAUCUGUAAAAUAUUCAAGGAGAGGAACCAUUAAUUAUGAUUAAUCAAUUAAAUUUCAUCCAUAACUGGAAACCCAACUGACCAAACAAUAAUUAUCAAAAUUCAUUCUGAUAUCAACAGGCUAAAAAAAUUAUUAACAGGUUAAAACAAUCAUCAAUCAGAUUUUAAUCACACUGCCAAAGAACAAAAUAUAGCAUAAAAUUCAUCACAUACACCAUUGUCUACUGUUUUAUAAAUCACACCCUUGAAAAAAAAACCAUAAGAGUUCCAAACUGAAAAGUCAAAACACAGCCAGAAAAGGAAAAACAAGGGAACUCUAUUUGAUAAAUAAAAACUUUCAUCUUUCAAUCACAAUUAUAACUGUAUAUCCAAGAGAUUUGUGAAAUAAUUCAUAAUACUACAAUUAUUGCAGAUUUACUAAUUAUGAACAGUCUAAACAAUAAGCCCACAUCCAAGAUGAUGAUACCCAAAA